rnacentral:rRNA from 1 species
GUGCCAGCCGCCGCGGUAAUACGGAGGGUGCAAGCGUUAAUCGGAAUUACUGGGCGUAAAGCGCACGCAGGCGGUCUGUCAAGUCGGAUGUGAAAUCCCCGGGCCCAACCUGGGAACUGCAUUCGAAACUGGCAGGCUAGAGUCUUGUAGAGGGGGGUAGAAUUCCAGGUGUAGCGGUGAAAUGCGUAGAGAUCUGGAGGAAUACCGGUGGCGAAGGCGGCCCCCUGGACAAGACUGACGCUCAGGUGCGAAAGCGUGGGGAGCAAACAGGAUUAGAUACCCUGGUAGUCCACGCCGUAAACGAUGUCGACUUGGAGGUUGUGCCCUUGAGGCGUGGCUUCCGGAGCUAACGCGUUAAGUCGACCGCCUGGGGAGUACGGCCGCAAGGUUAAAACUCAAAUGAAUUGACGGGGCCCGCACAAGCGGUGAGCAUGUGGUUUAAUUCGAUGCAACGCGAAGAACCUUACCUACUCUUGACAUCCAGAGAACUUAG